ACACUAGCAGCUCUGAAGCAAAACCUUUGUCCCCAUGGCCUUGAGGUCAAGACCAAUUGCAGUGGGGUCUGAGUCCUUUCCUAGGCCCGGAAAGGCUCUUGAGAAGUGACCUGCAUCCCAGAAUGUUUCCCUGCUCUCUGCUUGCCUUAUUCCUGAGUGCCCUGCCCAUCACCAACACCACGGAGUUAGAGAAUCCAAACAAAAAGAUGGGAACCCCAAGGUUGGAGCAACCAGGGGACGUGAUCAUUGGAGGCAUCUUUCCGAUUUACAUGACAGAGCCUUCAUCGCCAUUGAAUUUCACCUCUGGACCCAUUAAAUUGCAGGUCCUUCUAGUUGUGGGAUGUGGGACGCCGCCUCAAAGUGGCCUGACGAGCGGUGCCAUGUCCGCGCCCAGAAUCCGAACCCCGGGCCGCAGCAGUGGAGCAUGCGAACUUAACCACUCGGCCACGGAGCCGGCCCCGCUUUUCUCUUUUAACAUUAGCUUUUCAUUUUACAGAAAAGAUUUGGAAAGUGGGAUUGAUGGGCCAAUAUGAACAUGUAUUUUUUUUAACAUGAAUUUUUUGUAUUAAUAAAAAUUGCAGAUUACUUUCCACAAAUCUACAAAGUAAUGGUUCUCCGUGUAGUGUAUGAGACAGUCAGUGACCAUUAGUCCAUGCAUGCCCACAAAUGCUGCUCUCAAAUAAUUUCCUCAGCUGGCCUCUGGACUGCAACAGAUGGUUGCAGGUCAAACUCUAUUCUAGUGGUUCUUGAAUUUUGUUGUGUAUAU
rnacentral:lncRNA from 1 species